rnacentral:rRNA from 1 species
GCUUACGGCCACACCGGCCUGAGUACGCUCUGAUCUCGUCCGAUCUCUGGAAGCUAAGCAGGGUCGGGCCUGGUUAGUACUGGAUGGGAGACCGCCUGGGAAUACCAGUGUGCUGUAAGCU